rnacentral:lncRNA from 1 species
UCACAAAACAUAUGUAUAUCCUUCACCAUGAAUACCUCCGCUACUAAGAUCUCUCUUUGUAUAAGUGUUUUUUGUUUAUUAGAUGACUAAGGAGAGAGAGAUAAUGUGCAAAAAAAUGAGAAAAGAUGAGUUACAGGCCACACAGGAGGUAAGGAUAAAAACAAAAUGAAAAAAAUCACAAUGGGGGGAAUGAACAACUAUAGGAUCAGACAUCUCAAUAAGAAAAGAAAUAGCCAAGGACAACAAACACCUAGACACUAUUGAAGAUAUUUCCAAAUGCCCACAUUGAUAUUGGCGGAUAUGUAGGGAAGUGCAUGAUGGAUUGAGUACUACCACCCACAUUCAACAAAUCGAACAAGUUUUCAGCC